rnacentral:rRNA from 1 species
GGAUGAACGCUAGCGGCAGGCUUAACACAUGCAAGUCGAGGGGCAGCACGGGUAGCAAUACCUGGUGGCGACCGGCGCAAGGGUGCGUAACGCGUGAGCAACAUGCCCUAUACAGGGGGAUAAUCCAGGGAAACUUGGUCUAAUAUCCCAUAGUAUUUAGAGGAGGCAUCUUCUAUAAAUUAAAGCUUCGGUGGUAUAGGAUUGGCUCGCGUGACAUUAGCUAGAUGGUGAGGUAACGGCUCACCAUGGCAAUGAUGUCUAGGGGUUCUGAGAGGAAGGCCCCCCACACUGGGACUGAGACACGGUCCAGACUCCUACGGGAGGCAGCAGUGGGGAAUAUUGCGCCAAUGGGCGAAAGCCUGACGCAGCAACGCCGCGUGCGGGAAGAAGGCCUUCGGGUUGUAAACCGCUUUUCUAGGGGAAGAGGGAGGACGGUACCCUGGGAAUAAGUCUCGGCUAACUACGUGCCAGCAGCCGCGGUAAAACGUAGGAGGCGAGCGUUAUCCGGAUUUACUGGGUGUAAAGCGCGUGCAGGCGGUUUAGCAAGUCGUGCGUGAAAGCGCUCUGGCUCAACCGGGCGAGGACGUGCGGAACUGCUGAACUGGAGGCAGGUAGAGGCGUGUGGAAUUCCGGGUGUAGUGGUGAAAUGCGUAGAGAUCCGGAGGAACACCAGUGGCGAAGGCGACGCGCUGGGCCUGACCUGACGCUAAGACGCGAAAGCAUGGGGAGCGAACGGGAUUAGAAACCCCGGUAGUCCAUGCUGUAAACGAUGCGGACUAGGUGUGGCGGUGAGGAGCCGCUGUGCCGUAGCGAACGUGGUAAGUCCGCCACCUGGGGAGUACGGCCGCAAGGUUAAAACUCAAAGGAAUUGACGGGGGCCCGCACAAGCAGCGGAGCGUGUGGUUUAAUUCGAGGCUACACGAAGAACCUUACCUGGGCUUGACAUGGCGGUGGUAGCGACCUGAAAGGGGAGCGACCUUCGGGAGCCGUCACAGGUGCUGCAUGGCUGUCGUCAGCUCGUGUCGUGAGAUGUUCGGUUAAGUCCGGUAACGAGCGCAACCCUCGCCGUCAGUUACAAGUGUCUGGCGGGACUGCCCGUUGAACGCGGGAGGAAGGUGGGGAUGACGUCAAGUCAGCAUGGCCUUAAUGUCCAGGGCUACACACACGCUACAAUGGCCGGCACAGCAGGUUGCCAACCCGCGAGGGGGAGCCAAUCCCGUAAAGCCGGUCUCAGUUCGGAUUGCAGGCUGCAACCCGCCUGCAUGAAGUGGGAGUUGCUAGUAAACGCGCAUCAGCCAAGGCGCGUUGAAUACGUUCCCGGGCCU